AGCAGCCGCGGUAAUUCCAGCUCCAAUAGCGUAUAUUAAAGUUGUUGCAGUUAAAAAGCUCGUAGUUGAAUUUCGGGAUCAAUAUGCCGGUCAUGCCUUGGUAUGCACUGGUAUCUUUGAUUUCUCCCUUCUGACGAACUUUGAUGUCAUUAAUUUGGUGUCAUAGGGAAUCAGGACUGUUACUUUGAAAAAAUUAGAGUGUUUAAAGCAGGCUCACGCUUGAAUACAUUAGCAUGGAAUAAUGAAAUAGGACGUUUGAUUCUAUUUUGUUGGUUUCUAGGAUCGACGUAAUGAUUAAUAGGGAUAGUUGGGGGCAUUAGUAUUCAAUUGUCAGAGGUGAAAUUCUUGGAUUUAUUGAAGACUAACUACUGCGAAAGCAUUUGCCAAGGAUGUUUUCAUUAAUCAAGAACGAAAGUUAGGGGAUCGAAGACGAUCAGAUACCGUCGUAGUCUUAACCAUAAACUAUGCCGACUAGGGAUCGGAUGAUGUUAAUUUUUUAAUGACUCA
rnacentral:rRNA from 1 species